CUAUUGCUUUUUCAGAUGUUACACGCUUGGUUGACCACCAACAGAAACUCAAUUUUAAUUUAAUAACAAAUUAAUAACAACUAGAAUUAAGUUAACUUGCAUGCAUAACAUUCCGCAGGCAUGUCAUAAUGAAUCCACUCAGCUAUGCACGUAUGUAUAACAUUCGUUUCUUGUCCUGAUCAUUUUUGGAAGAUUCAAGUUCACACGACAUUCUCUGGACGACAUAUUGUGCUGUUUUUCAGAUUUGUCCCCUUAAGACACGAGCAUGUGUGAUCCACCACUACCUUAUUGUAGGUCCUUUUAGGAAGAUUACGCAGAGUAGCGUGUGAAGAGAAAGGUUGUUCUCAACGCAGAGCUGCAAUAGUUGAGAAGCCGGCGCACAGCCACUUUUGUGAUUAAAUGACACAUCUGAACUGCCAGGAGAAGUCUUGAAGGUGUCCAAAGCAGCAGCAUGGGCUAAUACAAGCACCACGACGACGACAUCUGGAUUGCAACCGGGGUGGAGCAGCUACAAGUCGAAAACUGAAUCCAGUCCGGAAAUUAACUGGGACUAAAGUAUGUACAUAUGUACCAGGAAAAGGAUCAAGAUUGAACAUUAGGGCAAUCGGAAUGAUUCACUACAAUACCAAACUGACAGUUGAUUUUUUAUUUAAUUUGGAGUAGGGGAUGUGGGUUGCUACUGAACUGCAACGAGAAUGAAAAGCAGUUAAAUAAUUUAAUAUAAACAUGCUAAGCUUAAAAUGUCAAUAUUGACACUAUAAAAUGGACAUCAUGUUUAGAUUCCGCGGACAUGAUGGAUUUUUCAAAAAUAUGGCUUUCUAAGAAAAUGAAAACCAAUAAGUACUCCAAUACUCCCACUAUUUCCACGAAUUGAUUCCUUCAAGGAUAUUCGAGUUCCGGAGUGAUUUUACGAUUGCCUUGACCCCAGGAUAUUGUGUUCCCCAUGUCUUUCGAGGGUCCCGGCCGCCGCCGCCCUUUGUGGGCCAGAUGGCAUAUGCAAAGUGCAAACAAAUUAUUAUUAGCUGCCAACAGCGCCAGCUACAUCAUCUUCACAAUGGAAGCGCCGAGGGAUUCCCACACAAGUGUGGCGUCCAGGAGAAAGGAAAAGGCGUUUGGUCAAGGCAGGGCUUCGCUGCAUUCUCCCAUUGUGCGGGCACAGUUGCGCCUUUAAGGCGAACCCGAACCCAUUUAAUUCACUUUGUCACCAUGCAAAUGAAACAUUAGUGGUGACGUACCCAAAUGGAUCGCUCAAAGGUCUCCGUUGGAUGUCUGCAAUUAGGCCAGACACGUAAAUGGAAAUGAUUUACAAUCGUUUGGGCUUCUGUUGCUCCUGCUGCAAGUCACUCACCAUCAAGUGCACUGGGAAAAAUCACUUCAAGCGGUGCAAGUUCAAUGGGUUAAUAUUACAAGUACGAUUUACUCUAAUUACAGUGAUGUAAUGUUUAAUUUAGAAACAAUAAAACCAACACCCAAUCCGCAUGUAUUAACUGA